rnacentral:rRNA from 1 species
UGAGGAAUCUUGCGCAAUGGGCGAAAGCCUGACGCAGCGACGCCGCGUGAAGGAUGAAGGCCUUAGGGUUGUAAACUUCUGUUAAGUGGGAAGAAAUACUCGUUUUUAAUAGAAACGAGGGAUGACGGUACCACUAGAGAAAGCACCGGCUAAUCUCGUGCCAGCAGCCGCGGUAAUACGAGAGGUGCGAGCGUUAUUCGGAAUCAUUGGGCGUAAAGGGUGCGUAGACGGCAUGCUAAGUCAGUUGUUAAAUUUCCCGGCCUAACCGGGAACCUGCUAUUGAUACUAGCGUGCUAGAGGGUGGAAGAGAGAAGUGGAAUUCUCGGAGUAGCGGUAAAAUGCGUAGAUAUCGAGAGGAACACCGAUGGCGAAGGCAGCUUCUUGGGCCACACCUGACGUUGAGGCACGAAAGCGUGGGGAGCAAACAGGAUUAGAUACCCGUGUAGUCC